GAUUGAUAAAAGAUUAGAUUGGCUUUGCGUCUGGAGACAAAAGCUUAAGCGAAACCAACAACAAUGGCAACCUGUACAACACCCUCUUCCUUAAUGCCAACGUACGCCUCCACCACAGUACAUCCACAAGAGCUCACUCCUUCUCUUCUCUCCUUCAAGCCCAGAACUUUUUCUCUCUAUCCAUGGGCUCUGGGUUCUGGUGGGGAGAGAAAAUCAAGCAAGUUCGUCAAUUUGUUUACACAAAAAGAGGCAAAGUUUGGAACUUGCAGUGUGGUUGUGGCUGCUGCUUUGGCUGCAGAGGCAGAGGUGGCUGAGGAGUUGGAGGGGAGAGAGGGAGGUGAUGUGGCCACCGCUACAGUUGCUCCACCUAAGCCUAAGAAAGGGAAGGCUGCAUUGCCCUUGAAGAGAGACAGGGUGAGAUUUUGAUGUUCGAUUCUUGUUUUAGUAAAGUUUCGGUUUUUUGGGUGAUUUCAAUUGAAAGGUGGGUUUUGGUUGGUUCAUUGUUCAUUUCUUGGGAUGAUGGUUUGAUUUGUGAAUUCUGAUAGGUGUAUCUUUUAGUUAUAAAAUUAGAAGUCUGUGUGCUUGAUUAUUAGUGCCUCAGAACAGAGACAGAGAAUGUAUGAUUAUAUUGUUUUCAUUGUUGGGUUUUUAUGUGCUUAGUGGAUUUUCCUUGGUUUUAAUUUUGAAAUUAAUCUCUUAGAAUUUUGGUGCAUGAAAUUUUUCAAUAGAGGAGGACUACCCUUGCGUUUUUAAUUGGUUUUAGUUUGAAUUAUCAAUUUGAGAUUUUUACGGUUCUAUAAAAAUUAUUGCUUUGUGCUUGAGGCAGUAUCUGCAUCUCCUCAUUCUGUUAGUACUUAGUACACUGGGGUUUACUUAAUGACUUUAUUUUUGAAGAUUCUUAUACACUUUCAAGAACUCAGCUUCAUACCCUUUUCGUGGAAAUGCCAGACAAGAUCUAAGAGAUUCUUGGAAAUUCAAAAAUUGAGGGAAAACAAGCAAGAAUAUGACAUAAAUGCAGCAAUAUCAUUGCUGAAGCAAAUGGCAAACUCAAAGUUCGUUGAAACUGCUGAAGCUCAUUUCCGUCUUAACAUUGAUCCCAAAUAUAAUGACCAACAGCUGAGGGCAACUGUAAAUUUGCCCAAGGGAACUGGACAAACUGUUAAAGUGGCAGUGCUUACACAAGGUGAAAAGUUCGAUGAAGCAAAAAAUGCAGGAGCAGAUUUGGUUGGUGGGGAGGACCUGAUAGAACAGAUAAAAGGAGGAUUCAUGGACUUUGACAAAUUAAUUGCAUCCCCAGACAUGAUGCCUAAGGUGUUGUUUUGCAUAUCUAGUUGUAGUCUAAGCACAUAUACAUCUUAAGAUCAGUAAGAUACGAUUGUUUAUUCUUGUUGAAAUUUGUGGAUAACAUUUAAUUUGAAAAUUUAAUCACUUACUACUAUGAGGGAUGCACUUAUUUUCAUACUGGAAUAUAUAAAUAUUUGUUAUUAGUUGCUAUGAAGAAAGUUUUGUAGUUUGAAUUAUGUUUUCUAAAGUUUAAUCUACUAUGUUAUACUAUGCUCUGUUGCUUUUGUAACCUCCUAUGAAACUAUGAUAAAGAUCUAAUUUUAAUAUUUUCUCUUAAAAGAAAAUCUAAAUCAUAUAUUGAUCGACUAUGGUUUUGUGUGCCUAUUCAUGGGAUGGGAAUAAUUCUUUUUAGAGAUUAUCUUGGUUUGGUGGGCUCUAUUAAUGUCUUUACACUUGUAUCGGGUUGCCAGCUUAGGUAAGAUUUUAGGACCUCGGGGACUCAUGCCAAAUCCAAAAGCUGGUACUGUUGCAACUAACAUACCUCAGGUAUAGUUUGCUUUUGCUUUUACUUUUUGUUUGUGCUUUGCAUCAGAUUUAUUGUUUUGAUUCUCAACUGGAAUUGUUAUUCAACAUUCAAAAACCUGCAUCUACAUAUUUGAAGAAACACAAGGUCGUAUGACUGCUUGCAUUUGCAGCAGCAAGACCUUAAAGGAAUAAUGGAAUCCGAGAGAAAAAAGAAUGGAUUUGAAUCUAUCAUUUCGUAUUUAGCUAGCAAUUGCUAAUGGCUAAGAUUACCAAACACAAAAAAUAUGAGUGAGUGGAUUCCAUUUGUGCCUUGCUUGUUUCUAAUUUGAUUCACCAAAAUGACGUGGUUUACUCUAAUGUUUUCAGGCAAUAGCUGAGUUCAAGAAGGGAAAGGUUGAAUAUAGGGCAGAUAAAACUGGAAUUGUUCACAUACCUUUUGGAAAGGUCGACUUCUCAGAAGAAGACCUCCUCUUAAACUUGCUUGCUGCAGUAGUAUGCUCUAAAACUCCCCUUCGUUUGCUUUUACAUUGCUUUUUUUUUUUCUCUAGUCAUGAUUGGUGCCUAGAUCAUAUGCAGCAACUGCAAGAACUAAUUUCUCAUCUAUUAUGUUCUCUCAGAGAUCAGUAGAAUCAAACAAGCCAUCAGGUGCAAAAGGAGUGUAUUGGAAAAGUGCGCACAUAUGCUCAUCAAUGGGGCCGUCAAUUCGGUUAAAUAUAAGGGAGAUGCUUGAUUACAAGCUCCCAUUGAACAUUUGAAUACAAUUAAAACCUGUAAAUGAUGUAGUAAAGUGUCUCCAGAACCCAUCAAUGAUCGGUAAAAAUGGCAGGUAAAAGCAGGAUGAUUAGAGGCAACCUCUCUUCUUUGUUGUGGAUGGAAGUUGACAUGCAUAUCCUUGGUCAUCCUCUACAAAGACCAAGAAAGGUGUAUGCGAAUGAAAUUAUCAAAUUUAGUCCCUCAUUGCAAGAAAUUCCAUAUUUGAUUGGCAAUAUCUUGUACUUGUUUGUACUAAUCAACUGAUUAAAAUCAUGUUUUUUCACUCGCUGUUGGAUUCCUUGAUCGCUGGGAGAAGCAACCAUCCAUUUUUUGUGUGCGCGGAUGUGUUUUGCUUUGUUCUUCUCUCACUCGAGAAAUCAUCAGUAUAGAAAUAAGCAUUCUACAAGAAGAAAAAAGAGCCAGCUCAAAGAAAAAAGAAAACGAAAAGAUAAAUUGAAAUUUGUUCUGGGGAAUAUGGUAAUUCAUCUUUC
rnacentral:misc_RNA from 1 species